AGGGCCUGAUGCUCCUCUAGCUACUGUUUGCCACUUGUUCUUUGACCUGGAAGCCACACCCAAGGAGACACUACUCUGCCAGGACUCAGGCUGGCUGCUUCAACAAGGCUUCCCCAGCUAACUUCUGCUGGGUGUUUGUGAGCCUCUGAUUUGAUGACUUCACCUUGGACUUGAUCUCUUCACCUGGCGACCCCAGUCCUUGAGCUUUGACUGGCUGAUGCUUAGUCCUGCUAGACGCUAUGAUGAAGACUGUGCCAUAUCUGGGGAACAGAGUGCCACAGCAGCCUCAUUUGAAGCCACAAUUCUGUAUAUAGAUCAGGACGCAAAAUGGAAAGAGAAGUGGCUGCCAGCUGUAUUCCUUGAUUUCUAGAAUAGUGUAUCCUGACUCUGAGGAGUUAGCAGCAUGUUGUGGUCUCUGACUCUAAGAAGACAUCGUGUCCUGUAAAUUAGAACCUUGUCCAUUCAGGAUCUUUGUCCCUCCACUGGCAAGAUUUACAUGUGCCAGUCGGCAAGAGAACCAUUUGCAAAGCCCACCUCCGCCAUCACGAAGCAGACCAGUGAGGGUGGACUGAAGCACUGUAGAGCAAUGACCUGAUGACCGGCACAGAGAAGGAGGUGUGCCAGGAGGUGACAUCAGAGGGAAGGCAGGGAGCACACCAACACAUGGCAGCACACUGUUAUCCAAGCAGAGCCCAGCAAAUAUGACCGCUCAUCAAGACAAGACCGGCACAAUCAGGAAAAGACAGAAAAUACACUUCCUUCCCACCACCACCGAGAGGACAAGCUUAACCCAAGCACUGGGGCUGCGUGUUCUCAGUCCUGUUGGAUUCUAAGCAAACCAUCCUUAAGAGAAUCUUCCUGUGACACUGGGCUGAGUACUUUCUCUCAUUUGCUGAGACUGUGGCCAAGGCAUGGAGAACCACACUGCUUCCUAACAACCAGGGCUAGGUUGGAGGCUGUGAUUCAUUGGCUCAUCCUUUGUCCUAAAGAUGUUCAGCUCCAAGACCAUCCCCUCCCAGUGGCCCUGGCUGGUUCCUGAGAACUCUAUGCAUGGAGGAUGUCCUUGUACUCGUAUGCAGCAAACGUUGACCCUGAGCCGUUCUCAUUACAACCCUGGCUUCUUGGAUGCUGACGAGGUCUCCCAGCCUGGUGUUAAGCAAUCUUGCAUGCAUGUAUCGGUGUUGGAAAGGGCAUCCAAGGAGAACUGGUCUGUUACCAAAGUUGGUUCUGUCAUAACCAGGGUCCCUUUUGACCUUUGUUUUUGGUAGGCUAGACUUUUGGAAAGAGAAACAGGGAAGCAAACAGCUACUCUGGGACCUGCGGCAUUUGAGGUUGAGGAAAACAUUGGUCAACAUCCGGUCCCUUAGCUGUCAGACGGACGCUGUCUCCAAGUCGUGGCCUUGGUUUCGUAACAUCUCAGUUCAGGGUCACAGAGCGAACACUGUCUUGGUUGAGGAGCACUCUGAGAGCUUCAGAGACUUCUCCAGGAAUCUCGUGGCCCUACUUAACCUGCUCAUAAAUGUCUUCCUCUUGCCCUCUUGCCUCCUCUCUCUCCAAACAAGUCAAAUCUCAAGUCCCUGGCUUUGAUGGCCAUGACCCUUCUAAGACCAUGGACCACACACUGGGUAGCAUGGGCCUGCAGUGUAUGGAGAGUUGACUUAGGAACUCCCAAGUUGAGAAUGCAAGUCUAACCCAUGCAAUGAGACUGGAUAGAACUGCUGGCCCUAGAGCUGGGUCUCAAACAAGAAGGUGUAGAGGAUGGGCGGGACUUAUGCAGGAGCCUCUGAAGUCCCUGUGAGAAGAACAUCACGCUGGCUUCCUACUUCCACCACCACAGCCCUUCCUGAGCCAUCUACGUCCUCCUCCCUCCUGCUUCUCCCCUUGGUUCCUCUCCUGAUCUCUGAGGAUGGGGGUCAUUUUAUCACUGGGUAUGGACACAAAUGGAGUCAUUCCUGCCCACUCUCUUCUCAACUAUGGACUAGCUGAAACAAUGAGACUGCAGGAAUCCCAAGUAGGCGCAUUUGGAAGAUAUGAAUAACCGCAAAGGCAAAAGCUGAGAAUGGCUCCUGCCAGGGUGAGCGCAGGAAGUGGGUGGAAGUGGGAAGGACUCUAUUAAUUCCCUCCGACCUUGAAUGAGUCAUGACUCUCAACUUCCUACUCAAGUGUCUGGAUGCUGCGCUUCGGUCAUGACUAAGGCUCUCUGGUGGGCACACACUGCCUUUUGUAUCCACACAGCCAUCCUAACUCCAAAUUGCCCCUAUUGCUCAGAGCAUCCCUGCAUACAGCCUUCAGUGGCUUUACUCCCUGUUACUACCACUUCCUGGCCCAGCCUUUGAGCUUUAGCCCUCUGCCCAUGUGUUUGUAGCUUGGCGUUAAUCUCCCUACACUCAGCACACUAGAUCCUAAGCCCUGCAGUCUCAGCACAAAGCCAUCUCCUCAGGGUGGCUCUCCCAGGCCCACUGGCUCACUCUCAUCAAGGCAGACGACCUCUUCAUCCAUGAGUCUCCUGCCCAUGCCUUUCACACCAGGCUGCAGCCACCAUCAAGUCAGAUGUCAUCACUGUCUCCAUGAACCCUGGCUCAAACAUGGAGAAAGAACGCUCUGUAGCCCCAUAUUCUGCCCCUGAUGGUCCCCAGCCUGCUGACUCCAUUGACUGAGACACCAGUCUUCCCAGUUAUAGUAUCACCAACCUAAGAGCAGGCCCCACACCCAGGGUCUCCGAUGGAGCCCGGGCUGCCGUGCACUCAGAGAAAGGAGCAAUUGUAGGCUGGGGUUUGUCUCCAUCUUCCCAGAGGCUAUCUAGCUGAAGACACCAAUGCUCAAGGUGUGGGGGCUUCAAGGGCUCCAAGUUGGCAGAAUGGAAUCUACAGGGCUUCUGGAAAGAAGUUGGAAGUUGGGAGCACUGACUUUAAGUCCUUGCUGUGUGAGAGAGAAGUGGGGAACUAUGGCCAUACCCAGCAUCCAGCAGCAGGCCCUCCUUCCUGGGCAGCCGUGGACGAAGCCUCCAGUUCCAGCUUCUACUGUGUGCAGACUCCUUAGUACCGUUACCUUCAUCCAGACUCCAGCAAGCCCUAGUAGAAAGGGCUUUUCCGAGCGCUGUUUACAUUCUUGUCGUUUUUGCCUGUGUUUAGACUCAUGAAAAAAAAAAAAAAGCAACACAUUUCAAACAUUUCCAAGCAAUCCCAGGCCCUUGUGGGUUUCACAUAAACUACCCUAUAAACCAGUGAACUUCAGAGUCUCCAACUCCACAAAAAUCAUAAACCCUCAAAGCUGUAAGCCCAUGAAGAUUCUCUGAUCCAACAUUCUUGUUUCAUGGCCAGAAAAACCCAGGCUCGGGAGGGGAAGGCCUCGCCUAGGCACCCUGGAGCUGAGUAUAGAGCUGAUCUCUACCAUGCAACUCACGGAUCCCAACCCAGUACAAAACACUGCAGCCCACGAACACAUCGCCUCUGCCAGCAUGUGGUUCUGGUUUUUUAAAAGAACUGACUUGAGGUUUGGAAAUAUUAAUGUGCCUAGGAUUUUGGCAAAGGAAUGUGUGUUAAGUGUACAGGCUUGGCUGACAGCCAUGCCCCAGCGCCAGGCAGGCUGCUGUAGGAUGAGAAUACUCUGGGACUUGAUGUGUGGGGUGCGCCUGCUGUGCGAGGCCCCAGAAUCACUGGAUGGAAGUGUGGCUCCCCUCGAAGUCAAUAUCGUCUACCAGGAGCCGCUCUCACGGGAGAUGUAAGAUAACCUUGCCUUCAGAAGAGUCUUCGCGAACUCCAGAAGAUGCUAGAGGCCAAGUUCUAGUAUGAGCCAGGAAGGCACCAAACAGACCCUAAGCCAUCUGGGCCAACACCUUUCCCUCCACCAUAACAGGCCCAGGCAGGAAAUUAAGCAAAGCUCUUUCUGAACUUCUGCAAAGGAAUUUCCUGGAGGGUCCUGGAGGCCCAGUGCUCCGAGGAAUCAUGUUACAACAAAAGCUACAGGCCCCCAGGUUCUUGCCACAGCACCUGUUCUGCAGAGCACCUUGGAAUCCUAUCCUGGCCUGUGAUGGCAGGGAGGCUGGCUCUACAGCCCCGGGAAGCCAGAAGAUGUCUUCCUAGCUGUAGACACAGGACAGGCAUCUCCCCACUUGCCCUCAUCUCUGUAUCUUAAGGCCCAGGAGAGCCCUCUGCACAUAUCCUGAGCUAUGUCCUCUCUAAAGCUGGGAGACAGCUGAUUGGUAAAGCAAGACGAGGGCCACCCUGACCCUAAUAGUCUCUCCAAACCAAAGGCCUGAAGCAUCUUCCAGCAGUCACUGACAACUUCUCUAAGCCUUGUGUCAAAACUUCAGGAUAUUGUGGACCAACAAGAAUGUAAGAGAAGCCAAUUCACAAUAACCUGCUGCCCAGCCUGAAACUCGCAGAAAAAUAAUAUAAUCCAAAUAAAAUCUUGAGUCUAGUUAAUACUAUGUACCAACCUUGAUCUCUCAAUCUUUUUGUCUCUCCCUAACUUCAAUCCAUCUCUCCCUCUGCCUCUCUCUAUGUAGCCCAGGCUUCCCAGUUAAAUAAUAUGCAUCCCCAGUAAGAAAUCAUUCUGCACACUUAGAAAUUAAUAAAGGAAAAGAUUUUUUAUUGGUAAGAGAAUAAAAGUGCAUGGCUGGUAGCAGCUAAUGCCCAAGGAAAAAGCAACCAUGAAUAGAUUUUCCUAACAUGCAUACCUAAGUCCUUUCAUGUCCUGGCCCCAGGUUACACUUCCAAUAAUUUAAACACAGUCAGGAGACUCCAAGUCUGGCCACUUGGGCAGACGGAAGAUUUACACAGCAAAGAUAGUGCCAGGAUUAUUUUAGGUACACCAGUGUUAGUCUUUUUGAAUAGUUUUUACCCAGGUUCAUCUUGCCCACCUGGCAGGAUUAUGCUUUUCCUGAUAAAAAUGCAGGGGCUGAACCAAGAAACCCAGAUCUUUAAGGGUAGCUGUGACCCCGCACUGGGCUCUUGAGCUGGCCAGCGAGGCAUGUUUUUUGGGAGAUGAGCCUAAUGGCUAGUCGGUCCUGAUGAAUAAAAAUUCGCAGCCUAGCAAUGUAAAUUUUGCUUAUCUCUAACAGGCUGGCUAACACACUACUUAUCUUUGGGUAUUUGGAGCCAGCACUCCCUUAGUUAAAUUCUGCAUUUGUGAUUUAACGUCUCUUAAGCAAAUCUUUUAGUAAAUCCUUUAUAGCUUGUACUCUUUCUUCUACAUUGGCCCUUAUCCCCAGUCCUCCAGCCUCCCUCUUCCAAGCACUGAGAUGACAGGCCUAUGCCACCUGUGCAUGUGAGUGUGGGGACUCGGGACCCACAGAAGUGCGCAGAGGUCAGAGGGCAACUUUUGGGGACCAGUUCUCUCCUACUGUGGAAUCCUAGGAUGAGAGACAGCUUGUCUCAGCACUUGAACCCACUGAGCCAUUUUGCUGGCCCCAUGCCUGACUUCCUUAGUCUCUUUAAGUUGUAAAAAACUCUUUCCAAAGUUGCUUAUUUCCAGAGUUUUGUGAAGCA